UACGUAGGCAGCAAGCGUUGUUCGGAAUUACUGGGCGUAAAGAGUGUGUAGGCGGUGUUCUAAGUUUGUCGUGAAAUCUCCCGGCUUAACUGGGAGGGUGCGGCGAAAACUGGAAUGCUAGAGGAUGGGAGAGGUAAGCGGAAUUCCCAGUGUAGAGGUGAAAUUCGUAGAUAUUGGGAAGAACACCGGUGGCGAAGGCGGCGCUCUGGACCGAGACUGACGCUGAGGCGCGAAAGCGUGGGGAGCAAACAGG
rnacentral:rRNA from 1 species